rnacentral:rRNA from 1 species
AAAAAAUAGGUCUCAGUUCGGAUUGUAGGCUGCAACCCGCCUGCAUGAAGUUGGAAUUGCUAGUAAUCGCGGAUCAGCAUGCCGCGGUGAAUACGUUCCCGGGCCUUGUACACACCGCCCGUCACACCAUGGGAGCCGGUAAUACCCGAAGUCAGUAGCCUAACCGCAAGGAGGGCGCUGCCGAAGGUAGGAUUGGCGACUGGGGUGAAGUCGUAACAAGGUAUC